rnacentral:lncRNA from 9 species
UUUUUUUUUUUUUUUUUUUUUUUUUCUUUCUUUUUAGAGCCAUACUCAGGGCUUAAGGUAGUUCAGAUCUGAGCCAUAUCUGCAACCUAUACCACAGCUCAAGGCAACAGCGGAUCCCUAACCCACUGAGCAAGGCCAGGGAUUGAAACUGCGUCCUCAUGGAGGAGAAGAAAGCGAGGUGAAGUGGGGGUGGACCUCCAUCCCUUCCAGAGGUCCCCUGGGACACGUCUGAGCAGAUUGGCACGAUCCUAGCUAUAAGCCCAUGACCAAGACAAAAGGAGUGAACGAGUAUUUACUGUAAUAUAGCCUGGCCAAGGGCCUGAUGGGGCUGCCUGGGGCUCUGGCCUCCCAUGGCCCGUCUCUGGGAGGAGGAGGACUCCUGGGGAACCUGGCAGAGACUGACCACUCCCCCUGUGUGUGGGGAAGCAAGACCUACCCAGCUGGAAAAAGCCAGGCUUCUGUACUGAGAUGAUCCACAAAAAAUGGUGGAAAUGGUCCUUCGCGUUGUUUUUCACACCACUGCCCAAGCUGGACCCGUGUGCAGGCAUUGGUGAGUACAGGCUGACAGCCCAGGAACAGCCCUGGGUUCUAGACAAAGCCUGGGAGGAAGCGGGUUGCCUCCACCAGGAGGAUGCGGCCAACACCCACUCCCCUGGGAUGCCCUGAACGGCUCCACAUCACACGUCAUCCAGAUGCAACACCCUCAUUCAUCUCCAAUCCCUGCUUCCCAGCUUGGAAGCUGCUAACCAGUCUCCCAGGCCAGACACAUCCCCCCUCAGCUGGUACUACUCCCAGAUCUUUCCAGACCCCCACCUGGAUGGCAGCUUUGGGGCUCAGCAGCCAGACUUCAUGUCCACGGAGUCUGCAUUUCCUCCAUGAGGCUCCACCUUGGAGUAAUGGGCUUGGGGUCUCCUUCCCAAACGGGGGAGAGGCACAUGUCCAGGCAAACCUGGGGGGAAGGGAGCAAACCGGUUCCCCCUGCCAUGUCAUCUUGUCCCCACUGCCUUGCUCUCCCCUAGGGCCUCUCCCUGUUCACCUCUGCACCUGCCCUCCUCUGGGUGGGGCUGUGUCCCCUCAGGUGGCAUCUCCUUCUAGGGGUGGCUGCAGGGAGGAGAGGCCAGACCCCUUCAGGGUUUCUGUGAAGGAGGCCGUGGCCCUGUGGUGGGUCCUGGAUUCCCAGAGCCGCCAUCUUUGGUCCUGGGCUCCCACCCACGGGCCCUGCUGCAAUGCUGGGCUGGAGAGCACAGGGCUCAAACCCACAGCUUUGGCACAGUUGUCUGGGUUCCCACUCCUAGUCAUGGGUUUUAGGGAAACACUAAAUCCCUGAGCCUUGGUGUCCUCAUCUGUGAAAUGGCGUUAGUAGCACAAGCCACAGUCCCUUUCUAAAACCAUUGGUUCAUACUCCAGAAUUCAGAAAUUUUCAGCCUCACCAGGUGACAUGGUACAUCUCCUCAAUUUAACACGACACCCACUGGUGUCUGAAAAUACCUUGUAGUGAAGCACAGUAAUCUUUCUGCAACUGCACUUUUGUUGUUGUUGUUGUUUAUUAAGUUAUUUUUAUUUUGUUCCCUGAUAGCUGGUUGACAGUGUUCUGUCAGUUUUCUACUGCACAGCAAGGUGACCCAAUUACACAUACAUAUAGGCAUUCUUUUUUCUCACCUUAUCACGCUCCAUCAUAAGUUGCAGCUGUACUUCUGAACAUUCAUACCAAGUGAAAGAAAUAAAGACCAUGAAGUGUUUCAUAU